AUACGGAGGGGGCUAGCGUUGUUCGGAAUUACUGGGCGUAAAGCGCGCGUAGGCGGCUUAUCAAGUUAGGCGUGAAAGGCCUGGGCUCAACCCGGGAACUGCGCUUAAUACUGGUAGACUUGAGUCCGGGAGAGGGUGGCGGAAUUCCCAGUGUAGAGGUGAAAUUCGUAGAUAUUGGGAAGAACACCAGUGGCGAAGGCGGCCACCUGGCCCGGUACUGACGCUGAGGUGCGAAAGCGUGGGGAGCAAACCGGAUUAGAAACCCCAGUAGUCC
rnacentral:rRNA from 1 species